GGUCUGGAAACCAAAGCUUUAUGUGCUGAAAGAUGGCCUCGCGUCUGAUUAGAUAGUUGGUGGGGUAACGGCCCACCAAGUCGACGAUCAGUAGCCGGACUGAGAGGUUGACCGGCCACAUUGGGACUGAGACACGGCCCAGACUCCUACGGGAGGCAGCAGUGGGGAAUAUUGCACAAUGGGCGCAAGCCUGAUGCAGCGACGCCGCGUGCGGGAUGACGGCCUUCGGGUUGUAAACCGCUUUUGAUCGGGAGCAAGCCUUCGGGUGAGUGUACCUUUCGAAUAAGCACCGGCUAACUACGUGCCAGCAGCCGCGGUAAUACGUAGGGUGCAAGCGUUAUCCGGAAUUAUUGGGCGUAAAGGGCUCGUAGGCGGUUCGUCGCGUCCGGUGUGAAAGUCCAUCGCUUAACGGUGGAUCUGCGCCGGGUACGGGCGGGCUGGAGUGCGGUAGGGGAGACUGGAAUUCCCGGUGUAACGGUGGAAUGUGUAGAUAUCGGGAAGAACACCAAUGGCGAAGGCAGGUCUCUGGGCCGUUACUGACGCUGAGGAGCGAAAGCGUGGGGAGCGAACAGGAUUAGAUACCCUGGUAGUCCACGCCGUAAACGGUGGAUGCUGGAUGUGGGGCCCGUUCCACGGGUUCCGUGUCGGAGCUAACGCGUUAAGCAUCCCGCCUGGGGAGUACGGCCGCAAGGCUAAAACUCAAAGAAAUUGACGGGGGCCCGCACAAGCGGCGGAGCAUGCGGAUUAAUUCGAUGCAACGCGAAGAACCUUACCGGGGCUUGACAUGUUCCCGACAGCCGUAGAGAUAUGGCCUCCCUUCGGGGCGGGUUCACAGGUGGUGCAUGGUCGUCGUCAGCUCGUGUCGUGAGAUGUUGGGUUAAUUCCCGCAACGAGCGCAACCCUCGCCCUGUGUUGCCAGCACGUCAUGGUG
rnacentral:rRNA from 1 species